UGGUCCAAUCACUUAGUUGUUUUGUAGUGAAAUAGUAAAACAUGUAUUUUUUGCCCAAAAAUAAGACAACGGGGAAAAUUACCUUUGUCAAUUAUCUGAUGUCGGAUUGUUUGAUGUGUUUGUGAUAUGUGAAGAUCUGCUGAUUGACUACAACUGGUGCAGUAGGAUGAUCGGCAGCUGUACAUGGCUUUUGAAUACAUUUGUCCAUUCAACUAAAUUGAUCAUAAAUGACUAUUAAAUGUAAAAUGUACUACUUUUGCAAGCGGUAUCCCACUGUGGUCAAUUCCUUCGCUCAGCUGGUGGCGUGUUCCAAGCACCGAGUGCCCGAUCCGACUGAGACGUCACAGCCCUGAUAACCGCUCCGGCCGACUGUCAGGGCAAAAUGUUUGAUAAAGCAAAGGGCAGAGAGUUA